GACCUGCGGAAGGAUCAUUAAAGAGUAAGGGUGCUCAGCGCCCGACCUCCAACCCUUUGUUGUUAAAACUACCUUGUUGCUUUGGCGGGACCGCUCGGUCUCGAGCCGCUGGGGAUUCGUCCCAGGCGAGCGCCCGCCAGAGUUAAACCAAACUCUUGUUAUUAAACCGGUCGUCUGAGUUAAAAUUUUGAAUAAAUCAAAACUUUCAACAACGGAUCUCUUGGUUCUCGCAUCGAUGAAGAACGCAGCGAAAUGCGAUAAGUAAUGUGAAUUGCAGAAUUCAGUGAAUCAUCGAAUCUUUGAACGCACAUUGCGCCCCUUGGUAUUCCGAGGGGCAUGCCUGUUCGAGCGUCAUUACACCACUCAAGCUAUGCUUGGUAUUGGGUGCCGUCCUUAGUUGGGCGCGCCUUAAAGACCUCGGCGAGGCCUCACCGGCUUUAGGCGUAGUAGAAUUUAUUCGAACGUCUGUCAAAGGAGAGGACUUCUGCCGACUGAAACCUUUUAUUUUUCUAGGUUGACCUCGGAUCAGGUAGGGAUACCCGCUGAACUUAA
rnacentral:misc_RNA from 1 species